rnacentral:rRNA from 1 species
UACGUAGGUGGCAAGCGUUGUCCGGAUUUAUUGGGUUUAAAGGGUGCGUAGGUGGUCUAUUAAGUCAGUGCUGAAAUAUCCCGGCUUAACCGGGAGGGUGGCAUUGAUACUGAUGGACUUGGGUGGAGUCGAGGUAGGCGGAAUUGACGGUGUAGCGGUGAAAUGCUUAGAUAUCGUCAAGAACACCGAUAGUGCAGACAGCUUACUAGGCUCUAACUGACACUGAGGCACGAAAGUGUGGGGAUCAAACAGG